GCCCAUAGCUUAGUGGUUACAGCAUCCGCCUUGCAAGCAGAAGGCCGCAGGUUCAACCCCUGACAUGUUCAGGCA